rnacentral:rRNA from 1 species
GGGAUGACACAGUAGGAUAAGCUAAGCACACUGUUGGUUAUGUGUGCCCAAGCAUUGAGGCAGUCAAAGUAGGCAAAUCCGCUUUGAUAAUGCUGGGAUGUGAUGGGGAGCGAAAUUUAGUAGCGAAGUAGCUGAUUUCACACUGUCAAGAAAAGUCUCUAUCGAGGUUAAAGGUACCCGUACCGCAAACCGACACAGGUGGGUGAGGAGAGUAUCCUAAGGCCAGCGAGAGAACUGUUGUUAAGGAACUCGGCAAAAUGACCCCGUAACUUAGGGAUAAGGGGUGCCACCAUCAGGUGGCCGCAGAGAAUAGGCCCAAGCGACUGUUUACCAAAAACAUAGGUUUCUGCUAAGUCGCAAGACGAUGUAUAGGAGCUGACGCCUGCCCGGUGCUGGAAGGUUAAGGGGAUCUGUUAGAGCAAUCGAAGCAGUGAACUUAAGCCCCAGUAAACGGCGGCCGUAACUAUAACGGUCCUAAGGUAGCGAAAUGCCUUGUCGGGUAAGUUCCGACCCGCACGAAAGGCGUAACGAUUUGGGCACUGUCUCAACAACAGACUCGGUGAAAUUGUAAUUCCGGUGAAGAUGCCGGAUACCUGCGACAGGACGGAAAGACCCCAUGGAGCUUUACUGUAGCUUGACAUUGGGUCUUGGUACUACAUGUACAGGAUAGGU